rnacentral:rRNA from 1 species
GUCCCUACGGGGCGCAGCAGUGAGGAAUAUUGGUCAAUGGGCGGGAGCCUGAACCAGCCAAGUCGCGUGAAGGAAGAAGGUACUUAGUAUUGUAAACUUCUUUUGUCGGGGAACAAAGGCGGAGACGCGUCUCCGGAUGAGUGUACCCGAAGAAAAAGCAUCGGCUAACUCCGUGCCAGCAGCCGCGGUAAUACGUAGGUGGCAAGCGUUAUCCGGAUUUAUUGGGUGUAAAGGGCGUGUAGGCGGGAUUGCAAGUCAGAUGUGAAAACCACGGGCUCAACCUGUGGCCUGCAUUUGAAACUGUA